AUUUCUUGGUUGUUGCGCUGUAGCUCCACGUUUAGAUUCACGCGCGAUCGUUGAACGAUGUAGUCGCAGUGGGAUCUGAGGACAACCAGGGGACAACGGGACACAAGAUUGGGGGGAGAACCCGGGGCUAAACAAAAUAACCCCCGUGCGAACUCCCCCCAGGACACAAAAAGAUCAUCUUUAUUACGGUGGCCUGCCAUGCGAGCGCACCCA
rnacentral:misc_RNA from 1 species